rnacentral:tRNA from 1 species
CCGCGCGUAGCUCAGCGGAUAGAGCAGCCGGCUUCUAACCGGCAGGUCGGAGGUUCGAGUCCUCCCGCGCGGG